UACGUAGGUGGCGAGCGUUAUCCGGAAUUAUUGGGCGUAAAGAGCGCGCAGGUGGUUGAUUAAGUCUGAUGUGAAAGCCCACGGCUUAACCGUGGAGGGUCAUUGGAAACUGGUCAACUUGAGUGCAGAAGAGGGAAGUGGAAUUCCAUGUGUAGCGGUGAAAUGCGUAGAGAUCGGGAGGAACACCAGUGGCGAAGGCGGGUGACUGGACUGCAACUGACGCUGAGGCGCGAAAGUGUGGGGAGCAAACAGGAUUAGAUA
rnacentral:rRNA from 1 species